AUGGCCCAAGAAGUGACAUGCACUGGGACCCUUGGGUUGUUCUUGGAACCAGCAUUGCGACCCCACCCAGCACACUCACCCUUCAUGAUUUUGGCCCACACCACAACCAAUGGAGUUCUUGAGCCAGAUAUCACUGCUUGUUUUGGUUGUUGGUCAAAGACUACUUUAAGCUCGAGCUAUGGCUCACCCAGCAGGUCAAGAACCCAAAACAUACUGGAAAUUAUAUAUAUAAGUACUGCUCGAAGCAUUUGUUGAGAGCGUGAACUCCACGAGAAUUAACGUUUUGCAUGACAGUUGAAAUUAUCUUCGAUUUUUCUAUUUAUUGUCAACUGAUUUUGAAUUAAAUGUUCAUAUUUUAACAUGAUAUCGGCGUCACACAUAUUUUCAUGUUACUUGAUAGAUGUUGUACAUGUGAUGGUUAUUGAGAGUGUAAAUCCAGCAUCAAAGAAUUACAUGGAGAAUCCCAAAUUAAUCACUGCUUUUCAAAUAUUAAUCUAACUCAUCAAAAGGCUUAUAACAUACCACAAAGCCAAGGAUGUGCUAAAUAAUUGGUAAUAAUUAAGGGCUUAAUUGGUAGUACCAAAUUCAUAAUAUUCCAAUUAAUACUCUGAAAGGUUAUAAUUUACUGAACUUUUUCUUCCAGAAAACACAUCAAUUGCAAAAGAGACUCGUGGGGUGUGAUUUAUGAUAUCUUAACACGAUCUGAGCCCAUGAUACAUACUAUUAUUAUUGCAGAUUUUGGAUUGACAUGCCCUCAUGUGCACAUCACAAGACUACAAUUGUUUACAUGACACCAAUUUGGUACAAUUUUUCAUUCCGCAUUCAUGUCAUUAGCACGUGGGUCACAUUCUUGGAAUUUAUUGAUUAA
rnacentral:lncRNA from 1 species